UCAACAUCUGUUAUAAAUACACAUAUUAUUACACAGUAGCACACGCAUCUGUAUAUACGUAACUGGUAAUAUGGUUCACAUACAUACGGCACUUAAUGGGUUAAGAUUGAUACAUAUUUAACCAGUAUGGAUAUGAUUUUUAAUAUUUACAUAUCACGGCACUUUACUUUCACAUAUACUGUAUGUUUUAAGAUAAGCUUGGUCUAUGCCAUAUUUCCAUAUGCCAUACGAUUUUAUCUAUUCAGGUUACAGUUACUACUAAAAAACCUAUACGGAUUGUCAGGUUCAAUAUCAUACUACCAGGUACGUACACCUGCUCACGUAGUUAUCCAUCUCUUACCUUCCCUGGAAUAGUAAUAGUGUACUGGCAAUUAGGGUUCUAGGGCCCAAUAGGUAUUACCCCCUUUUUUCUCUGCAUUAUGCUUCAGUUAGUGGUCCCGCGAGGCCAACACCCCGCCUCACACUCGGAGGCAUACACCCCUCGGGCCUCACCUGUCACUCCCCUUCCUAUUUUUCUGGUUACUGUCACCGACAGGCCAACAUCCUGCCACAACGUUCGGUGGCCACACAAAAUCCCCUUGCGCCAAGCAUAGAUAGAGCCUCUCAAGCCACUUGGCAACUAGCAGGGCCUCACCAGUCACCAAAAAAACACCAAGCCUAAUCGUUUCGCCUUACGGCUUAGCUAGCAAGCCGGUACAAGACCCCUGGGUACAAAUAUAUAAUUGCAAUUUUAUUGUUAUUUAAGUAUUUCUCAAAAGAUGGUAAAGAAUCACCUCUUCCUAGCACACCGGCUAGAAGUGAUACACCUUCAAGCAGAGGAGUUGUGGCUCUGACCUAAGGAGGCGACAAAUCCCUUAACCUGCCACAGCAAGGAAAGCAGAGUUAUUCAAACUCCUCCAUACAUCAACGGACAACACGGAGGCAGGGGAAGGCCCAGCAACACCAACUCAGGUGACACCCAGGCCAUGCUAGCCUCACUCAUCAACUCAUGAGCCAAACAAUUUAUGACAGACUGGCAAUCUCGAGUCGGUCACAGCCCUCACAAGGCUGGGCCUCACGCUACUGUACAACUAGCACCAACCGAAACUCGGUUACCUGGUACAAUCAAUUCUUGGUACAAGACGUUAACCCUGCACAUAUCAUCCCGGCACAUUGGGGAAACAAGGCAUAUAAAUGUAUGAUGAUGGUCAGAACCAGGGAUUCUAGAUAAAUCGGGAACUGACCAUCCCUUGGUUGUGUUGGCAUUUGGAAUAUGUAGAGAUGCUUAUUUGUGCAGGUACCCAUACAGAAGGGAUUUUCUCCCAAACAAACGGACGAGCACUCUCAGGCUCCAGGUACCAGCACCUCUGAACUACCAGAGACAAUUGGUAUUAGUAGUUGCAUUGCAUAUAAACUGUUGCAUAUAUGUUCAAAUCAUUCAGGGCACAUGACAAACCAUGUGUCCCAAUACAACUUACAAAUAACGUACACACCAAUGCAUUUUCAACAUUACUGACUCAUCAUCCUUCCAGACUUGUAGUAGAUUUACUAAGGCUCUGGAGCUUCAAAGAGCUCCCAUACAUGUAUCAUAAAUAAACCCUCAAGGAAUAUAGCAUGCCCUCACUUACAGUCAGCACAACAGAACCGUCGGCUGUAAAAACACACAUAGCCAAGAUUUGCAGAGGGGUUUUUACUUGGGUUUUCCAAUCUCCACCAUUUACAGCAUGGCACCAAACACAAACACAUUGGUAUUGUCACAAGGGAAUCUUCCCUUAAACAAAGACUAACCAUAGACUUAUUGGCAGCACACACCUUCGCUUCCCCAAGUCUCAACUCCCUCAUACCCUCCGAGGAGUUUCCUUACUAUACACACCAUUGAUCUACCUUUACAGCUAUCACUCAAGCAUGGGUUGAAGCUUCGUUAAGUAAGACCAAUAUCAUCAACACAGUAAACGGCUAUCAUCUACCCUACAAACUGGCACUUACAUGCCAUAAAAUGGGCAAUCCUUUCCCCGCUACAAGCAGCUGCUGUGGGUAAAUCAUGGUCAGGGUCAUCAAUCCGUUGUUACUCAGACAACUAAGCACAUGUCAUAUCAUCAACAAAUGCCACUUAUCAUCCAUACGAUCAUGGAAUUGCUGGGGAACUCACUUGGUUGGCCACUUACCACAUUUCCUUUACUUUCAUGUACCAGGCGGGGGUAUACAUCCUUGCUGACAAUUGUCUCAUUUAUAUUCCAGGCACGUUCAUCAUACGCUUCCUACAGCCGCCCAUACAGUCACGGCCACUCUUUCGUUCCAGAGACAAAAUCAUGGAUUAGACAUACUCAUGCAACAUAGCAUGCACUAUCCCACCUAGCACUUUCAUCCCAUACUUGUAGAACGCAUAACACCUAUUCACCUGGCUUUAAAGAAUCUCAUUGGAACACGACAUAGCUCAACCUGUGUCAUAACAUUUCUCCUAGGUUUUGCUUCCAUUUUUUGCCACCUUAAACUAAAACCAUCUCACACACCAUUAAUUAUAUAUUUUACAGGCAUUCAACAACAGAGGAUAACCUAUGGCCAAAACUACCAUAACUUCAUGCUAUCAUACCAGACAAGAAUAUACUAUACCAUCCCCCCACGUUCCACUCAGAGAUUACCAAUAGCCAUCCAACUUUUCCAUCCUUAUCGGACCUAUUAGAGCUACAACCAUUCAAUUAUACUACCAAGUCGGCCAUUACCAGCCAUGCACACUGCCUUUUAUGCCUUUCUCAGGCCAGAGAAUCCACUACCAUAACCACCACUCAGACAGAUCAUUGUCUUCAACGAUCCCACGUAUGUAAACACAUAUAUCAUUACCUAUUGGCUCUACCACAUUCCAAAACAAGUCAACACGCACCAACAGUAGAGAUAACAUACUAUCCUACCCACAACAAAUGGUGUCCAGUUGCGGUCCUAGAUUCCUACCUUCAAUAUCCUUCAAGGAAUUAAAUACCAUAAUGCAUUUAAGGAAAUGUCUGGUUAAUUUGUAUAUAUUGUUGAGUGUAUUAAAUCUUUGAUUAUUCUUUUUGCCCUCUUUAUUUACAGGCCUACCGUAUCGUCGGUCUCAGCACACCACAACCGACUUGCUCCCUUUAUACUAUCCUACACUUAUGCUGGAACCUUACUCCAUAUACGGCUAUUUGCCCCGAACACAAGUUUUAAGGCCGUUUGGCCUGUAUUUGUGGGAGGGGCUUAAAUUAAUUCACUUCCCUAUAUAAGGGACACCCCUUACCUGACUCAUAUCGCUUGAGGUCAGCAUCAGAAUGACCCUCCCAACCACUCCUCAUUUCAACACUUUCUCUUUUCUUUCCAUUUACUUUACUUACUUACUCCUUGGUGGGCCCUCUUUAUUUAUAGGCCUACCGUAUCGUUGGUCUCGGCACACCACAACGACUUGCUCCCUUUAUACUAUCCUACACUUAUGCUGGAACCUUACUCCAUAUACGGCUAUUUGCCCCGAACACAAAUAUAUAUAUAUAUAUAUAUAUAUAUAUAUAUAUAUAUAUAUAUAUAUAUAUAUAUAUAUAUAUAUAUAUAUAUAUAUAUAUAUAUAUAUAUGGAAUAUAUAUAUAUAUAUUGUUCAUUUUAACCAACUCGGGGACUGCCUGUCACCAGGCCACAUAAUGCCUGGUGACAUAGACAUGCGCACGGCCUGCACUAUGUGCCUCCAUGGGCCAGUGAGGAAGAUCAAAUAUCUCCCUCACCGACUCAUGGAGGAAGGCAGGAGACGGUCCGGGGGGUUCUUGCCAGCAGCUCCGCCGGGUUCCUCUCACGAGUUCGGAAAGUUGCCAUGGCAGCGCUCAGAUCUCGCGAGAGUAAACUCUAGCCCCUUGUGGCAACUAGACCAUUAUGGAUGGCAGCAGCACGGUCCCCCCUCCCUAUAAAAGCUAAGGAUGGGGGAUAUUAACUAAACGGCCCCCACCCCCACACAAUACACUCAAACAGCACCCACACACGAACAGCACCCUUACACAUACAGCACACACAUAAAUCACCCUUACACACACAGAACACACACACAUUAACAGCACCCUCUCACACACAGCGCCCACACGCACAGCACCUACAUACAGCACCCUCACACACACACAUCUGUGUAUGAGUGUGUAUCUAUAUAUAUGCAGCGUGCGUGUUUCUGCUUUAGGGUGCACACCCUUAUGAAAUAGGCUGCGCAAGCCUAUGCCGGGUGAUACUAUGGACGCCUAUUGUGGCCUUGUGAAGGCUUUUUCAGAGCAAUCACAUGGCCUACGGGGUGCUAUUUAGCUGAGGGGGGACUGUUUGGGCUGUCAGACAGUCCCCCAGACGGAGAAGAAGACCAAUCGCCGGCGGCGAUCGGGUAAGUCAGGGCUGUCCAACCUGCGGCCCCCCAGAUGUUGCUGAACUACAACUCACAUGAUUCCCUUGCUAUCUGUUUAAUUGAAAGGAUCAUGUGAGUUGUAGUUCAGCAACAUCUGGGGGCCAUAGGUUGGACAGCUCUGGGGUAAGUGAAUGGGAAUGGAAUGAGAGAGGGAAGCGGAAGGUUAAUAUUUUUUUAAAUUAUUUUAUUCUUUACUGAGCGCCUCGUCCCCUCGAUUCACUCAGCACACAGGCAGAGCAGUGAGGAAGGGUAUUGCAGGAUGCCUCGAAGGGGAAGGUGGCGCCCGGCAGUGAGGAAGGGUAUUGCAGGAUGCCUCAACAUUGAGGCAUCACUGCAAUACCUUUAUAGCAGCUGGAAGUGAUCAUGAUCUCUUCCAGUGCUCAAAUGUGCCGCGGACAUACACGGUAAGUCAGCGGUCGUUAACUACUUUUUUUUUCUGUCUGGUGUACUCUGUACGUCCGCGGUCAAUAAGGGAUUAAAAGUGUUGCGGUUGCUUUGUACCAGUGAAAGGAUUGAAGAUCAUUAAUAUUAAUUUAGACUGUUUUAAAAUCAUGUCUUAAAUGCAAUUAAAACACUGCUUGACAUCUAAAAGGCAUAAAAGCAACAUAGUAUUUCUUUGAGACUAAAUUGUGUGUGUGUAUAUAUAUGUGUAUAUAGGUUAUUUUUUUCUUCAAUUGGUUAAUAGGUGACUGUGCAUUAACCUGAAAUCAAUAGACAUAACAUUGUUUAAUGUUUUACUUAAAUAAAAUAAAUCCAGCCUUAAUAUAUUGGCUGUUCUCUUAAGCAACACGUUUUAUGUUUUUAACAUUAUUUAAUAACCUUGUUCUAUAAAAUGGUACAUUUGCAGGGUCAGAUCCAGGAGACUCCUAUUAUCUUGGAGCGUGACUAAGCAAAGAUGGUUGCUGUGGAAGCAUUAUAUGAGCUGCUAACAAAUGACUCAUCUUGUGGCAGUGGUCACCACUCGUGAACUAGUAGAGGACAUCCUGGAAAAUGUUUACAACUGCUAUUGUAUUAUAAAAUGUUGAUCCAUACACUUAGCCAUCUCUUGUAUAUAGUGUAAAUUCCAAAUGCCAUCUCUAAAGGUCAAGUUUACUUCAAAUUUUGUAAUUGGUUUGUAAGAAGAAUAAAUACAACCUUUGUGCCAAUUA